rnacentral:rRNA from 1 species
UCGAGAAUCUUCGGCAAUGGGCGCAAGCCUGACCGAGCGACGCCGCGUGGAGGACGAAGGCCUUCGGGUUGUAAACUCCUGUCGAGGGGGAAGAAGGGGGUAAAACCCUUGACUGAUCCCUGGAGGAAGCACGGGCUAAGUUCGUGCCAGCAGCCGCGGUAAGACGAACCGUGCGAACGUUAUUCGGAAUCACUGGGCUUAAAGCGCGUGUAGGCGGGCCGGCACGUCGGUCGUUGAAAUCCCCCAGCUCAACCGGGGAAGGGGCGCCGAUACGACCGGCCUGGAGGGACGUAGGGGGAGCUGGAACUUCCGGUGGAGCGGUGAAAUGCGUUGAGAUCGGAAGGAACGCCCGUGGCGAAAGCGAGCUCCUGGACGUUUUCUGACGCUGAGACGCGAAAGCCAGGGGAGCGAACGG